UGGGGUGUGGCUCAGAGAUAGAGCGCUUGUCUCCCACAUGUUAGGCACUGGGUUUGAUCCUCAGCACCACAU
rnacentral:tRNA from 1 species